GUGCCAGCCGCCGCGGUAAUACGUAGGGGGCGAGCGUUGUCCGGAAUUAUUGGGCGUAAAGGGUUCGCAGGCGGCCAAAUAAGUCAGAUGUGAAAUCCCGCGGCUUAACCGUGGUAAGCAUUUGAAACUGUAUGGCUUGAGUUAAGGAGAGGAAAGUGGAAUUCCUAGUGUAGCGGUGAAAUGCGUAGAUAUUAGGAAGAAUACCAGUGGCGAAGGCGACUUUCUGGACUUAUACUGACGCUGAGGAACGAAAGCGUGGGGAGCAAACAGGAUUAGAUACCCUGGUAGUCCACGCCGUAAACGAUGAGUGCUAGGUGUCGGGUGUCAAAGCUCGGUGCCGCAGCUAACGCAUUAAGCACUCCGCCUGGGGAGUACGUACGCAAGUAUGAA
rnacentral:rRNA from 1 species